rnacentral:rRNA from 1 species
CCUACGGGAGGCAGCAGUGAGGAAUAUUGGUCAAUGGACGAGAGUCUGAACCAGCCAAGUAGCGUGAAGGAUGACUGUCCUAUGGGUCGUAAACUUCUUUUAUAUGGGAAUAAAAUCUUCCACGCGUGCGCUUUUGUAUGUACCUUAUGAAUAAGGAUCGGCUAACUCCGUGCCAGCAGCCGCGGUAAUACGGAGGAUCCGAGCGUUAUCCGGAUUUAUUGGGUUUAAAGGGAGCGUAGGUGGACUGUUAAGUCAGUUGUGAAAGGUCGGGGCUCAACCGUAAAACUGCAGUUGAAACUGGCAGUCUGGAGUAGAGUAGAGGUAGGCGGAAUGCGUGGUGUAGCGGUGAAAUGCUUAGAUAUCGCGAAGAACUCCGAUUGCGAAGGCAG